AGGAGAGUUUGAUCCUGGCUCAGGAUUAGAUACCCUGGUAGUCCAGAAUUCGGCUUAGAGUUUGAUCCUGGCUCAGGAUGAACGCUGGCGGCGUGCCUAACACAUGCAAGUCGAACGGAGUUUACUCGCUGAUGAAGCUUCGGCAGAAUCUUGAGUAAACUUAGUGGCGGACGGGUGAGUAACGCGUGGGCAACCUGCCUCAUACUGGGGGAUAGCAGUUGGAAACGACUGAUAAUACCGCAUAAGCGCACAGCAUCGCAUGAUGCAGUGUGAAAAACUCCGGUGGUAUGAGAUGGGCCCGCGUCAGAUUAGCUAGUUGGUAAGGUAACGGCUUACCAAGGCGACGAUCUGUAGCCGGACUGAGAGGUCGGACGGCCACAUUGGGACUGAGACACGGCCCAAACUCCUACGGGAGGCAGCAGUGGGGGAUAUUGCACAAUGGAGGAAACUCUGAUGCAGCGACGCCGCGUGAGUGAAGAAGUAUUUCGGUAUGUAAAGCUCUAUCAGCAGGGAAGAAAGGCUCUAAGGAGAGAUGACGGUACCUGACUAAGAAGCCCCGGCUAACUACGUGCCAGCAGCCGCGGUAAUACGUAGGGGGCAAGCGUUAUCCGGAUUUACUGGGUGUAAAGGGAGCGCAGACGGUUAUGCAAGUCUGAAGUGAAACCCCACGGCUCAACCGUGGGCUUGCUUUGGAAACUGUAUAACUAGAGUACUGGAGAGGUAAGCGGAAUUCCUAGUGUAGCGGUGAAAUGCGCAGAUAUUAGGAGGAACAUCGGUGGCGAAGGCGGCUUACUGGACAGCAACUGACGUUGAGGCUCGAAGGCGUGGGGAGCAAACAGGAUUAGAUACCCUGGUAGUCCCCU
rnacentral:rRNA from 1 species